GGUGAACGCUGGCGGCGUGCUUAAGACAUGCAAGUCGAACGCGGUCUUCGGACCGAGUGGCGCACGGGUGAGUAACACGUAACUGACCUACCCAGAAGUCAUGAAUAACUGGCCGAAAGGUCAGCUAAUACGUGAUGUGGUGAUUUGCCGUGGCAAAUCACUAAAGAUUUAUCGAUUCUGGAUGGGGUUGCGUUCCAUCAGCCGGUUGGUGGGGUAAAGGCCUACCAAGGCGACGACGGAUAGCCAGCCUGAGAGGGUGGCCGGCCACAGGGGCACUGAGACACGGGUCCCACUCCUACGGGAGGCAGCAGUUAGGAAUCUUCCACAAUGGGCGCAAGCCUGACGGAGCGACGCCGCGUGAGGGAUGAAGGUUUUCGGAUCGUAAACCUCUGAAUCUGGGACGAAAGAGCCUUCGGGCAGAUGACGGUACCAGAGUAAUAGCACCGGCUAACUCCGUGCCAGCCGCCGCAGUAACAC
rnacentral:rRNA from 1 species